rnacentral:lncRNA from 1 species
AGAAGAAUGGCCUAAAUUUAAGUGUAAUGUGAAGAGACCUGAAGUGAUAGAGGAAGAAAGAAAACCAGUAGCAAUGUUAGUACAGGUUAACAAGCAAGAUCAUGCAACCAUUGUGAUUGACUUAUACAAGUACAGUACAUCAGAACAGCUUUUUAGAGUGACAGCAUGGGUAUUUAGAUUCAAGUUUAAUUCUCAAGCUAAAGUAAAGAAUUUUGAUAAACGUAGAGGAGAGCUCAGUGUAGAGGAACUAGUUGAAGCAGAGGGAUUUUGGAUUAAGAAAGCUCAGACAGAACUGAAGGAUCAGAAGAAUUAUGAUCAGCUGAGUAAUUCUUUAAGAUUAGUGGAGGAAGAAGGUAUUCUGAGGUGCAAAGGUAGAUUGAAGAAUUCGGAUUUAGAAUUGAGUGCCAGAUACCCAAUCAUCUUGCCAAAGGAUCACAGAUUAACAGAGUUAUUGGUUCGAAAAUCACACAGUGACGUACAUCAUUGUGGUGUACGAGCGACUUUAUGUAGACUACGAUCAAAGUACUGGGUAGUGAAAGGACGACAACUGGUUAAGCGAAUUGUAGGCAAGUGCGUUACCUGCAAGAGACUAGAAGGGAAAUCAUACAGUGAAGCACCAGUAUCAGAUUUACCGGGGUUUAGAGUCAGACAGGCAGCACCACUUUUUGUAAAGGUUUGUGCAGAUUGUUCCAACAAAGUGUAUGUAGCAUUGUUCUCAUGCUGUGUGACACGUGCAAUACAUUUAGAGUUAGUACGAGAUUUGUCAGCCGACACGUUUUUACGUUCUUUAAGAAGGUUUGCCGCUAGAAGAGGAACGCCUAGUUUGAUAGUAUCAGACAAUGCAAAGACAUUUAAGGCAUCAGAGAAAGCUCUUAGGAAACUAUAUAGUCAGCAAAAGGUUAAGUCCGAGCUACAGACGAAGCGAAUAACCUGGAGGUUCAACUUAGAGAGGGCACCCUGGUGGGGUGGAGUUUUUGAGAGGAUGGUACGAAGCGUGAAAAGGUGUCUUAGGAAGACUUUAGGGAAUGCUAGGUUAACGUUCGACGAACUUAAUACAGUUUUAGUUGAAGUUGAAGGUACAUUAAAUGCAAGACCGUUGACUGAUGAAUACGAAGAAUUUGAUGGUGAAGUCUUAACUCCUUCACAUUUAAUAUAUGGUAGAGCAAUUAAUAUUAUGCCACAGAACGAAGUUACUAAAGACGAGAAUAGUUGUGAGGAGAGAUUUAAGUAUGUGUCGUUAAAGUUAGAGCACUUCUGGAAGAGGUGGCAAAAGGAGUAUCUAACAGGGUUGAGAGAGUUCCAUAAAUGCAAAAACGGAGGUAGAUUGAGAGAAGUAAAGAAGGGAGACGUAGUGACAGUGUACGGAGAAGGAGGAAAGAGAUGUGGUUGGAAGUUAGCAGUUGUAGAAGAGUUAAUUGUAGGUAAGGACAAGGAGGUCCGAGGGGCCAAAGUAAAGGUUGCAGGCAAGGGUAGACCAGUCUAUUUGAAUAGGCCUAUACAGAAGUUAUUCCCAUUGGAGGUUCAAGCUCGACCGGGUGGGAAUGGGCAGGGAAAGGAUUCCCCCAUAGCUAAGGCAGACGGGUCCUUGCAUGUCUUGCAUGAUCGUCCGAGACGGGCUGCUGCAGCAAUUUCCAAAGCGAAGACAAAGGCGAUGCUUGAUUCAUAGACCUUUAUGAAUCAAGGUGGGUGGGGUGUCGUAGGUUCCCAGCGCAGCGCCGCCAAUUCAUUCAACUUUAAAUAUACUUCAUGUAAUAUAUCAGUAUUGUGAUUGACGUAAUUCAUGUUAAAUCGUAAAUAAGUCUUUGUAUGUGUAAAUUGAUACGUCACAGUGACACAUUGUAAUUUGGUAGGGUAAUCAAAUAGCUAGGUAGUGAUUGAAUGUCAUUGUUGCCGUCAGAUCGUAGCGAGACAAUCGGAAUGUUUAACAGUCUAAAACUCACGUUGUAAAUAGUAUACUUUCACAUAUUACAAUCAAUACAAUUAUAAAAUACAGUCCCUUGAGCGUUUACUGAAUGAACCAGACGGUGGAAUCACAAGUUCCGCAACACGAGGUUCCAGUCAACCUCGUACCCAAGGUCUUUCCUCUUGGGGAGCAAAGACCCUGGUAGACGCUGGUCAAAUGAUCUGCUAAAAUCUAGCAGAUUUUUAAUUAACUUAGUUCAAUCUGAGCUUCUCUCGAGUGUCAUUGCUGGUUUUGAACAGCUGGAGGGUUAGUGUCGUACUUACUUAAGUUAAGAAAACGAGAGAACUUAAUGCGCAAUAAUUUGUGUGUGGAUAAAAGGCGGACGGACGGCG